CUUUCGGUCCGGGAUUACCUUUUUCUCCAGGGAUGGAAAAUGGACAAAUCUUUCAAUACUAGUAAAAAUAAUGUGAUGGACAGAUGCCCAUCCAAUCAUAUCUACACAUUGAAGAGUUCUCUUUCUUUGGUACUGAUCUAGAUCACACAGCAUCUGUCAGCAGUGGCAGUGUUAUGCUGUGUGAGUGGGUCAGCAGCUAGCAGAAGCCGGGCAAUGUGGGAAAGAUUGUUUGAAAGAUGUGGCAUACCACUCAUUUGCAUAAACCAAGAAAGAGAUCAGUCAAGGCAACAGUGUAUGUGGCCCAGAGCAAAAUGAUUUCCCAUCAACCUGAGGGGGGUAUACCGGUACUGUGAUGCUAAUCUUAAGGCUGCAUGACCAAACAAAAUUAAUUCUAUGUUGAACCUUCAAUAUACGAAACCUACAGGGGAAGGUGAUAAAAUUUUGGACAAAAUGUUUUUCAUGAAAGAAUCUAUUUUUAUUCAUUUACAUUAAAAUAAAUACUGUAAGCAUUCAAUGGCAUGUUUCAUGCAAACUGUAAUCUUCAGGUCACUGUUUCUGUUUGUUGAAAUUACAAGUAAAACCAAUUUGGACUGG
rnacentral:sRNA from 1 species